rnacentral:rRNA from 1 species
AGUGAACGCUGGCGGUAGGCCUAACACAUGCAAGUCGAACGGCAGCACAGUAAGAGCUUGCUCUUACGGGUGGCGAGUGGCGGACGGGUGAGGAAUACAUCGGAAUCUACUUUUUCGUGGGGGAUAACGUAGGGAAACUUACGCUAAUACCGCAUACGACCUACGGGUGAAAGCAGGGGAUCUUCGGACCUUGCGCGAUUGAAUGAGCCGAUGUCGGAUUAGCUAGUUGGCGGGGUAAAGGCCCACCAAGGCGACGAUCCGUAGCUGGUCUGAGAGGAUGAUCAGCCACACGGGAGCUGAGACACGGUCCAAGCUCCUACGGGAGGCAGCAGUGGGGAAUAUUGGACAAUGGGCGCAAGCCUGAUCCAGCCAGACCGCGUGUGUGAAGAAGGCCUUCGGGUUGUAAAGCCCUUUUGUUGGGAAAGAAAAGCAGCAGGUUAAUACCCCGCUGUUCUGACGGUACCCAAAGAAUAAGCACCGGCUAACUUCGUG